ACUCCUACGGGAGGCAGCAGUGGGGAAUAUUGCACAAUGGGGGAAACCCUGAUGCAGCCAUGCCGCGUGUGUGAAGAAGGCCUUCGGGUUGUAAAGCACUUUUCAGUAGGGAGGAAGGUAGUGUAGUUAACACCUGCAUUAUUUUGACGUUACCUACAGAAGAAGCACCGGCUAACGUCCUGCCAGCAGCCGCGGUAAUACGGAGGGUGCGAGCGUUAAUCGGAAUUACUGGGCGUAAAGCGCAUGCAGGCGGCCUGUUAAGUCAGAUGUGAAAGCCCGGGGCUUAACCUCGGAAUUGCAUUUGAAACUGGACAGGCUAGAGUCUUGUAGAGGGGGUAGAA
rnacentral:rRNA from 1 species